rnacentral:rRNA from 1 species
CAGAGCCACGGUAAUACAGAGGGUGCGAGCGUUAAUCGGAUUUACUGGGCGUAAAGCGUGCGUAGGCGGCUUUUUAAGUCGGAUGUGAAAUCCCUGAGCUUAACUUAGGAAUUGCAUUCGAUACUGGGAAGCUAGAGUAUGGGAGAGGAUGGUAGAAUUCCAGGUGUAGCGGUGAAAUGCGUAGAGAUCUGGAGGAAUACCGAUGGCGAAGGCAGCCAUCUGGCCUAAUACUGACGCUGAGGUACGAAAGCAUGGGGAGCAAACAGGAUUAGAUACCCCUGUAGUCCCUGUCUCUUAUACA